rnacentral:rRNA from 1 species
GAUGAACGCUGGCGGCGUGCCUAAUACAUGCAAGUCGAGCGAACAGAUGAGGAGCUUGCUCCUCUGACGUUAGCGGCGGACGGGUGAGUAACACGUGGAUAACCUACCUAUAAGACUGGGAUAACUUCGGGAAACCGGAGCUAAUACCGGAUAAUAUAUUGAACCGCAUGGUUCAAUAGUGAAAGACGGUUUUGCUGUCACUUAUAGAUGGAUCCGCGCCGCAUUAGCUAGUUGGUAAGGUAACGGCUUACCAAGGCGACGAUGCGUAGCCGACCUGAGAGGGUGAUCGGCCACACUGGAACUGAGACACGGUCCAGACUCCUACGGUAGGCAGCAGUAGGGAAUCUUCCGCAAUGGGCGAAAGCCUGACGGAGCAACGCCGCGUGAGUGAUGAAGGUCUUCGGAUCGUAAAACUCUGUUAUUAGGGAAGAACAAAUGUGUAAGUAACUAUGCACGUCUUGACGGUACCUAAUCAGAAAGCCACGGCUAACUACGUG